GCUUAACCGAGGAAGUGCUUCGAAAACUGGUAAACUUGAGUGCAGAAGAGGAAAGUGGAACUCCAUGUGUAGCGGUGGAAUGCGUAGAUAUAUGGAAGAACACCAGUGGCGAAGGCGGCUUUCUGGUCUGUAACUGACGCUGAGAUUCGAAAGCAUGGGUAGCAAACAGGAUUAGAUACCCUGGUAGUCCAUGCCGUAAACGAUGAGUGCUAAGUGUUGGAGGGUUUCCGCCCUUCAGUGCUGCAGCUAACGCAUUAAGCACUCCGCCUGGGGAGUACGACCGCAAGGUUGAAACUCAAAGGAAUUGACGGGGGCCCGCACAAGCGGUGGAGCAUGUGGUUUAAUUCGAAGCAACGCGAAGAACCCUACCAGGUCUUGACAUACCAUGAAAAGCUUAGAGAUAAGUCUUUCCCUUCGGGGACAUGGAUACAGGUGGUGCAUGGUUGUCGUCAGCUCGUGUCGUGAGGUGUUGGGUUAAGUCCCGCAACGAGCGCAACCCUUAUUAUCAGUUGCCAGCAUUCAGUUGGGCACUCUGGUGAGACUGCCGGUGACAAACCGGAGGAAGGUGGGGACGACGUCAAAUCAUCAUGCCCCUUAUGACCUGGGCUACACACGUGCUACAAUGGUCGGUACAACG
rnacentral:rRNA from 1 species